rnacentral:rRNA from 2 species
GCCUGAUGGAGCACGCCGCGUGAGUGAAGAAGGGUUUCGGCUCGUAAAACUCUGUUGUUAAAGAAGAACGUAUCUGAGAGUAACUGUUCAGAUAGUGACGGUAUUUAACCAGAAAGCCACGGCUAACUACGUGCCAGCAGCCGCGGUAAUACGUAGGUGGCAAGCGUUAUCCGGAUUUAUUGGGCGUAAAGGGAGUGCAGGCGGUUAUUUAAGUCUGAUGUGAAAGCCUUCGGCUUAACCGGAGAAGGGCAUCGGAAACUGGAUAACUUGAGUGCAGAAGAGGGUAGUGGAACUCCAUGUGUAGCGGUGGAAUGCGUAGAUAUAUGGAAGAACACCAGUGGCGAAGGCGGCUACCUAGUCUGUAACUGACGCUGAGGCUCGAAAGCAUGGGUAGCAAACAGGAUUAGAUACCCUGGUAGUCCAUGCCGUAAACGAUGAAUACUAGGUGUUAGGGGGUUUCCGCCCCUUAGUGCCGCAGCUAACGCAAUAAGUAUUCCGCCUGGGGAGUACGACCGCAAGGUUGAAACUCAAAGGAAUUGACGGGGACCCGCACAAGCGGUGGAGCAUGUGGUUUAAUUCGAAGCUACGCGAAGAACCUUACCAGGGCUUGACAUCUUCUGCUAAUCCGAGAGAUCGGACGUUCCCUUCGGGGACGGAAAGACAGGUGGUGCAUGGUUGUCGUCAGCUCGUGUCGUGAGAUGUUGGGUUAAGUCCCGCAACGAGCGCAACCCUUAUGAUUAGUUGCCAGCAUUAAGUUGGGCACUCUAAUGAGACUGCCGGUGACAAACCGGAGGAAGGUGGGGACGACGUCAAAUCAUCAUGCCCCUUAUGUCCUGGGCUACACACGUGCUACAAUGGAUGGUACAGCGAGCAGCGAAGUCGCGAGGCCAAGCAAAUCUCUUAAAGCCAUUCUCAGUUCGGACUGUAGGCUGCAA